CUGGAUACCGAGCAGCAACAAGACUGAAAUUGAGUGUUUUAGAUGAAUUCUAACAGAAUUAUGGGGAAACCAACCAAACAACAAGGACCUCUUGCCAUCAACUUGAAGAAUAUCAAAAUAUAAAUUCAAAUCAUACCCUAACCAUAUGGUAUCGAGCCCAAAUAAGUAACAAGGACACGAUAUAGAUCAAAAGAAUUGAUUUAAACCAAAAAAAUCUCUCGGAAACUCUUUUAAAAUCAUGC
rnacentral:lncRNA from 1 species